rnacentral:rRNA from 1 species
GACGAACGCUGGCGGCGUGCUUAACACAUGCAAGUCGAACGGAAAGGCCCUGCUUUUGUGGGGUGCUCGAUUGGCGAACGGGUGAGUAACACGUGAGUAACCUGCCCUUGACUUUGGGAUAACUUCAGGAAACUGGGGCUAAUACCGGAUAGCAUCUCCUGCUGCAUUGUGGGGGGUGGAAAGUUUCGGCGGUUGGGGCUGGACUCGCGGCUUACCAGCUUGUUGGUGGGGUAGUGGCUUACCAAGGCUUUGACGGGUAGCCGGCAUGGGAGGGUGACCGGGCACAUUGGGACUGAGAUACGGACCAGACUCCUACGGGAGACAGCAGGGGGGAAUAUUGCACAGUGAGCGGGAGCCUGAUGCGGAAGCGCCGCGUGCGGGAAGACGGCCUUCGGGUUGAAAACCGCUUUCGCCUGUGACGAAGCGUGUGUGACGGUACUGGGUAAAGAAGCACCGGCUAACUACGUG